rnacentral:tRNA from 1 species
GGCCCGCUGGUCAAGCGGUUAAGACACCGCCCUUUCACGGCGGUAACACGGGUUCGAAUCCCGUACGGGUCA